GUAUUACGUAGCUUAAUAACAAAGCAUAGUGCUGAAGCCACUAAAAUGAGCUAACGCUCCAAAUACA
rnacentral:tRNA from 2 species